GCAUUAACUCGCAUUUUUACGGGGCUACGGAACUAAGAGGAAUUGUAACCAAUAAACAUGGCGUUAAAUGGCGACGAUGUUGUUAUACUAAGUGAUGAUGACACAGAUAUCGAAAAAAGAAUCUUUAUUAGGUGGUCUCUUCCUCGUCAAAAUUACUUAUGGCUAGAAUGAAAUUUGAACUCAAGUCCCUUGGAUCUGAAGUCCAGUGCUCUAACCAUUGUGUCAUAGCAACUUUGAAGAAUGCGAUGAAGUUGAUUUUUCAGAAGAUGAGAGUUGGCGAAAUACCUGGGUUGCUUCAUCUACUCUACUUAAAGAAAGUAAUAAACAAGAACUUAAAAAUGUGCAAAAUCCACUAGUUAUUGCUCCAGAACAACUUUCACCUACAAAAGUUUCCAAAUCUAAUGAACUUUUUUCAUCAGCAGUAUUCAAUAACAUAGCUUGUAAUAAUGAACUGGCAAAUCUAAACGAG
rnacentral:misc_RNA from 1 species